CCGCGCCAAGUCUGUUCGAGCCGCGAGUGACGCGGGGGUCGCUCCGUGGCGAGCCGAAGUGCACCACGACCGCGCCGCGUGCCUGACCGCGAGAGUGUGUGUGUUGUUCAGUGACCCCGUGACACCCCAAAAGUGCAAGCCAGCCCAAUGACACGGAUAAUCUACAACGCAUGAGGAUUAAAAGUGACCACCUGGAAGCCACCGACAACAGCCCUGUGCAACAUCCUUGAAUUGGAUCAUUUUCGAUCGCUUUAAAAGAAAGUCAUUGCAAUUCGUGGUUAGGUUUGGUGCAGUGCAACAAAGUGUGUGGACGGCAUCCUCCUCUGGUCAGGAGGUGCCAUGUGAAUUGCCCUCCACUCGGAUUGGAUACGCCCCUGGAAUACCUCGGCGGUGGGACCACAAGGACGCGGAGCCGAGGGGCCCUCGGCGGAGCACCACCAGCAUGAGGCCCGGACCCAGACCAGCGUAGUCACCGACCAUAGUCACCUGAGAUGGUGCGGCCGACGUGCCUGGGCCCGGGCCGGCCGCCGCCCCUG